ensembl:ncRNA F33C8.6 ncRNA
GAAAAGAGGCACUGCGAACAGAAUGAAUCGAUCGAUAGUACGCUUGCGCGAAGAGAUGCGGAGAAGGAGUGUGCCGCAAGAAGAGAACGCAGAGAGAAGCGACGUUAGGUGGGUAAACUAGGUAGACAACACCAAUUUGCUU